rnacentral:rRNA from 1 species
ACUCCUACGGGAGGCAGCAGUGGGGAAUAUUGCACAAUGGGGAAGCCAUCGACGCAGCGACGCCGCGUGAGCGAUGAAGGCUUUCGGGUCGUAAAGCUCUGUCGGAAGGGAAGAAAACGUAGUGGUUAAUACCCUCUACGAUUGACGGUACCUUCAGAGGAAGCACCGGCUAACUACGUGCCAGCAGCCGCGGUAAUACGUAGGGUGCAAGCGUUGUUCGGAAUUAUUGGGCGUAAAGAGCGUGUAGGUGGUUUUGUAAGUCGGAUGUGAAAGCCCUGGGCUUAACCGAGGAAGUGCAUCCGAAACUACAUGGCUAGAGGACGGUAGAGGGAAGUGGAAUUCCUAGUGUAGAGGUGAAAUUCGUAGAUAUUAGGAGGAAUACCGGAGGCGAAGGCGGCUUCCUGGACCGUUCCUGACACUGAGACGCGAAAGCGUGGUAGCAAACAGGAUUAGAUACCCUGGUAGGCUCUG